UACGUAGGUGGCAAGCGUUGUCCGGCAUUAUUGGGCGUAAAGCGCGCGCAGGCGGUCUUUUAAGUCUGCUGUGAAAGCCCCGGGCUCAACCGGGGAGGGUCAUUGGAAACUGGGUGACUUGAGUACUGAAGAGGAGAGUGGAAUUCCACGUGUAGCGGUGAAAUGCGUAGAUAUGUGGAGGAACACCAGUGGCGAAGGCGACUCUCUGGUCUGUAACGGACGCUGAGGCGCGAAAGCGUGGGGAGCAAACAGG
rnacentral:misc_RNA from 1 species